CCUACGGGAGGCUGCAGUGGGGAAUAUUGGGCAAUGGGCGCAAGCCUGACCCAGCAACGCCGCGUGAAGGAAGAAGGCUUUCGGGUUGUAAACUUCUUUUUAGAGGGAAGAGCAGAAGACGGUACCUCUUGAAUAAGCCACUGCUAACUACGUGCCAGCAGCCUCGGUACUACGUAGGUGGCACGCUUUGUCCGGAUUUACUGGGUGUAAAGGGCGUGCAGCCGGGAAGACAAGUCGGAUGUGAAAUCCCGCGGCUCAACCGCGGAACUGCAUUUGAAACUGUUUUUCUUGAGUACCGGAGAGGUAAUCGGAAUUCCUGGUGUAGCGGUGAAAUGCGUAGAUAUAAGGAAGAACACCAGUGGCGAAGGCGGAUGACUGGACGGCAACUGACGGUGAGGCGCGAAAGCGUGGGGAGCGAACAGGAUUAGAUACCCCAGUAGUC
rnacentral:rRNA from 1 species